rnacentral:rRNA from 1 species
GACGAACGCUGGCGGCGUGCUUAACACAUGCAAGUCGAACGAAGAGCGAUGGAAGCUUGCUUCUAUCAAUCUUAGUGGCGAACGGGUGAGUAACGCGUAAUCAACCUGCCCUUCAGAGGGGGACAACAGUUGGAAACGACUGCUAAUACCGCAUACGAUCUAACCUCGGCAUCGAGGAUAGAUGAAAGGUGGCCUCUACAUGUAAGCUAUCACUGAAGGAGGGGAUUGCGUCUGAUUAGCUAGUUGGAGGGGUAACGGCCCACCAAGGCGAUGAUCAGUAGCCGGUCUGAGAGGAUGCACGGCCACAUUGGGACUGAGACACGGCCCAGACUCCUACGGGAGGCAGCAGUGGGGAAUCUUCCGCAAUGGACGGAAGUCUGACGGAGCAACGCCGCGUGAGUGAUGACGGCCUUCGGGUUGUAAAGCUCUGUUAAUCGGGACGAAAGGCCUUCUUGCGAAUAGUUAGAAGGAUUGACGGUACCGGAAUAGAAAGCCACGGCUAACUACGUG